GAUACCCACCAUUUGGAUCCGGAUGGGAUCCUCUGCUUUAAACCAUCACUUGAAUUAAAUUGAAUUGAAAAGUCGCAGAGUCUGAUUUCUCGGGUCGACAAUGGAGGAUUUUUCCGAAGAGCUCGAGCCCUUAUUCGAUUACAGUCGCGUUCAGCCCGUCAAUCUAAUAUGCCUCGACGACGAUGAAUUAGAUGCUCCGUCAGCUUCUCCUCCGAAAAGGAGGGAAAUUUCCGAUUCCGCGGUUGAGAAGGUUGACGAACCUGUGAAGGUAGUGAAUGUUAUUAGUUGUGAAGAUAAGGAAGAGGAGGACUGGUUACGUCCUCCACCCAAGGUUUCUGCCGGCGCUAAGCGGAAGGGUGAGGAUUCUACCAUAAUGGAACUGAGGAAAAAGAAGCAAGAGCUGGCAUCAUUUGCACAAUCAGCUGAAAAUGUGUUGAGGUCGGUAGAGGAGUCUGUGAAAAGAGAACUUAGUAGCUCAUUGGAGGCUGUUGAAGAACAACCUCCAAAGCCCCGCCCUGAAAGAAACAAAAUAGUUAUAUCUAUUCAAGACAAAGAUGGAGUUAAGCAGUUCCGUAUCUAUGCGGACGACAAGUUUGAGCGGCUCUUCAAAAUGUAUGCCGAUAAUGUUAAACUUGACCUUCAGAGUCUGGUGUUUUGUUUUGAUGGGGACAAAAUAGGUCCAGCUGCUACGCCUGAUGCCCUUGGGAUGGAGGAAAAUGACAUUAUUGAAGUGCAUUUUACCUCGAGAUGACAUGGUAUAAAAGUAUAAAUACAUCAAAUUUUCUGGAAAAAGGAAACUAGGAGCAAAAGCCUUGGCUUGGUUUUUCUUAAAUUUGAAAGAGUGGACAUGGUUGGGUUGGUUAAGAGCAAGAACCUGUUUUGCUGGCUUCAGAACUGGGGAAUCUCAUAAACAUGUUGCCACAUUAAAAUCAUUAGAUGUACCAGGAAAGUCUGUUCUUAGGCAGAACCAAGUUACGAAGUUUUGAUCUCGGAGUGGAAUAAUUGUCAUAUCGUGUAACCGUGGCUGGUCCUAAGGCUGAAAUAUCAGUACUCUAGAUAUUGAUUCUAGCAGUGUUUCUUCAACCGAAGAACUUAAUCCGUCACCUUGAUGAAUCUUUGACGGGGACUGGAAGGGCCUUUGACCGGCGUCUUUUGGUGUAUGCUUGUAGUUUGUGCAGUACCUGCUCCUUAACUGUAUAGCGUGUCAUUAUAUUGUGAAAUUAUUGUUCACAAAUCUCAUGUGAACGUGGAUAGUGGAUCUGAUUCAAUACUCCCUAAUUCUGUUUUGCAUUAAACGGGCACAUAACUUUUUUUGGCUGGAA